rnacentral:rRNA from 1 species
AUUGAACGCUGGCGGCAUGCUUUACACAUGCAAGUCGAACGGUAACAGGGUGCUUGCACCGCUGACGAGUGGCGAACGGGUGAGUAAUGCGUCGGAACGUGCCGAGUAGUGGGGGAUAACGCAGCGAAAGUUGUGCUAAUACCGCAUACGUACUGAGGUAGAAAGUGGGGGACCUUCGGGCCUCACGCUAUUCGAGCGGCCGACGUCUGAUUAGCUAGUAGGUGAGGUAAAGGCUCACCUAGGCAACGAUCAGUAGCGGGUCUGAGAGGAUGAUCCGCCACACGGGGACUGGGACACGGCCCAGACUCCUACGGGAGGCAGCAGUGGGGAAUUUUUGACAAUGGGCGAAAGCCUGAUCCGGCCAUGCCGCGUGUCUGAAGAAGGCCUUCGGGUUGUAAAGGACUUUUGUCAGGGAGGAAAUCCCUAGUGCUAAUAACACUGGGGGAUGACAGUACCUGAAGAAUAAGCACCGGCUAACUACGUGCCAGCCGCCGCCGUAA